CCACCGUCCUCCUCCUCCGACCCUUCUCCCCCAUCUCGCGCCCUCCUCCUUCCCGGCGCCGCGUCCUACUCCCCCUCCCCGCAGGCGACACCGCGAGAGCCGAGAAAACGAGGCCUCGCGCCGCCGCCUCUCUCCACUCCGGCGCCCCUCCACCCACGACGGCCUCACAGCCCACCUCUACCGCCGCGUCCCCGCCGUAGCCGGCCGUCGCGGGCGCCACAAUGCCGCUCAGGUUGGAUAUCAAGAGGAAGCUCGCGCAGAGGUCGGAGAGGGUCAAGUCCGUGGAUCUGCAUCCGACCGAGCCAUGGAUUUUGUCGAGUCUGUAUUCAGGGAGCGUCUGCAUCUGGAACUACCAGACGCAGACGAUGGUGAAAUCAUUUGAAGUCACAGAGUUACCAGUUCGGUCAUCUAAAUUUAUCGCACGGAAACAAUGGAUAGUUGCUGGUGCCGAUGAUAUGUUCAUACGUGUGUACAAUUACAAUACGAUGGAUAAGGUCAAGGUUUUUGAAGCUCAUACGGAUUACAUCAGGUGUGUGGCUGUUCACCCAACCCAGCCUUUUGUGCUGUCAUCAUCUGAUGACAUGCUGAUCAAGCUUUGGGAUUGGGAUAAGGGUUGGAUGUGCACUCAAAUCUUCGAGGGGCAUUCUCACUAUGUUAUGCAAGUCACAUUUAACCCGAAAGAUACCAAUACUUUUGCUAGUGCUUCCCUUGAUCGCACAGUAAAGGUAUGGAGUCUUGGUUCCCCUGAUCCUAAUUUCACAUUAGAUGGCCAUUCAAAAGGUGUCAAUUGUGUUGAUUACUUUACUGGUGGUGAUCGCCCAUACUUAAUUACAGGCUCUGAUGAUCAAACCGCGAAGGUUUGGGACUAUCAAACGAAGAGCUGUGUUCAAACGCUUGAAGGACAUGCACAUAAUGUCUCUGCUGUUUGUUUCCAUCCGGAGUUACCUAUAACACUUACUGGCUCCGAGGAUGGGACAGUUCGCUUGUGGCACUCUACUACCUACAGGCUUGAGAACACUCUUAACUAUGGCCUUGAGCGAGUGUGGGCUUUAGGAUACAUGAAGGGUUCAAGAAGGGUUGUGAUCGGAUAUGAUGAAGGGACAAUAAUGAUAAAAAUUGGUCGUGAAGUUCCUGUUGCUAGCAUGGACAGCAGUGGAAAAAUCAUAUGGUCAAAACAUAAUGAAAUCCAAACUGUUAAUAUCAAGACUAUUGGUGCAGACAAUGAGAUUGCAGAUGGUGAGCGCUUACCCUUAGCUGUGAAGGAGUUGGGAACCUGUGAUCUUUAUCCACAAAGCUUAAGGCACAAUCCGAAUGGGAGAUUUGUUGUUGUAUGUGGAGAUGGAGAAUACAUAAUCUACACUGCAUUAGCAUGGAGAAAUAGAUCAUUCGGGUCUGCACUUGAAUUUGUUUGGUCAGUUGAUGGAGAAUAUGCUGUCAGAGAAAGCACGUCGAGGAUAAAGAUAUACAGUAAAAAUUUCCAGGAGAGAAAGAGUAUAAGACCACCAUUUUCUGCAGAACGUAUAUUUGGUGGAGUAUUGCUGGCUAUGUGUACAAAUGAUUUUAUUUGCUUCCAUGACUGGGCAGAGGGCAGGAUGAUACGCAGAAUUGAUGUCAAUGUGAAAAAUCUCUAUUGGGCCGAUAGUGGUGAUUUAGUGACAAUUGCAAGUGACACCUCAUUCUACAUUUUGAAGUACAAUAGGGAUGUAGUUUCUUCUCAUUUGGAUGGAGGGGGUUCAGUUGGCGAGGAAGGUGUGGAAGAUGCCUUUGAACUACUUCAUGAGAUCAAUGAACGCAUCCGAACUGGCCUAUGGGUUGGUGAUUGUUUUAUCUACAACAAUUCUUCGUCACGGCUUAAUUACUGUGUAGGAGGAGAGGUCACAACCUUAUUUCACUUGGAUCGGCAAAUGUAUUUACUGGGAUAUCUUGCUAACCAAAGCCGUGUCUAUCUUAUUGACAAGCAAUUUAAUGUUGUGGGGUAUACUUUACUCCUUACCAUGAUUGAGUAUAAAACACUUGUAAUGCGUGGAGACUUCGAUCGUGCAAACGCUCUUUUACCAUCUAUACCAAAAGAACAACAUGACAGUGUGGCACGUUUCUUGGAAUCACAGGGCAUGUUGGAAGAAGCCCUUGAGAUAGCAACAGACUCUAAUUACAGAUUUGACUUGGCCGUGCAGCUUGGUCGGCUUGAAGUUGCAAAGGCAAUUGCCAUUGAGGCACAAAGUGAGUCCAAGUGGAGGCAGUUAGGAGAGUUAGCUAUGUCAACCGGAAAGCUUGAUAUGGCAGAGGAGUGUCUUCUACAUGCUAUGGACCUCAGUGGUUUAUUACUUCUGUAUUCAUCCCUUGGUGAUGCUGAAGGGCUAACAAAAUUAACAUCUAUGGCUAAAGAACAAGGGAAGAACAAUGUUGCUUUCCUUUGUUUCUUCAUGCUAGGAAAACUUGAAGAAUGCCUUCAGUUGUUAAUCGAAAGUAAUCGUAUACCAGAAGCAGCAUUGAUGUCGAGAUCUUAUCUUCCGAGCAAAGUCCCUGAGAUUGUAACAUUAUGGAAAAAGGAUCUCCAAAAGGUAAACCCCAAAGCAGCAGAAUCAUUGGCAGAUCCUGACGAGUACCCAAACUUGUUUGAAGACUGGCAAAUUGCUCUCAAUGUAGAAGCUAAUGUCGCGCCCAAAAGGGGUAUUUAUCCACCAGCUGAGGAGUACAUUAUCCAUGCUGAGAGGCCCAAUGAGACUCUGGUGGAAGCUUUCAAAAGUAUGCAUAUACAUCUAGAGGAGGUGCUGCCAGAUGAAAAUGGAGAUGACACUCACGAGGCUAUUGAGGAAAAUGGAGUAGAAGAGAGCCAAGAAGAUGCUGUUGAGGUUGAUGUUGAAGCUGAUGGUUCGACUGAUGGUGCUGUCCUUGUGAACGGAAAUGAUACCGAGGAACAGUGGGGUACGAACAACGAAGAAUCAUCAGCAUAAAAGCUGUAGUUGAGCAAGUUAUUGACUCCUGACCAAUAGUGAAUCAGCGGGACAGCAACCUGAUACACUGAUUCAGCUUGUAAAGGUUGCUGACUCCUACUGAAACUAUGUGAAGGCCGUUUUCCUCCACUUGUAUAAUCAUUGGGCGUGCUUUAAGAUCGGCAUAUCCGACGAUAAAACCCACAGAAAUUAGUCAUCGCUUUGUCCUUGUUUGAGAUAGAAAAUUUUGUACCUUUUUACACACAUAGGUCCUUACUGUGGAUUCUCAGGGGGAUGUUCCCUUCUCGUUGAGGUUGAAUUUGAUUAGCUAAAGAGGAUCCAUAUUUUACACAAGAGUACAUAGGGUAAAAGUAUGCUUGCUGGAUCCAGAAUGUUUCUUUGAUGCAAUCUGCAAGACAACACUUUGUGCGAGCUAUGUAUCAUUUCAUUUGUGCUAUUCCUUGCGAGCGUUAUUAGUGAAUAAUAAAAGUUUAGAUACAAGAGUGAUUCUUUUAUAUUGAUAUAAACGUCAUAGCCUUGUAAAAUUUCAGCUCUUCUUGUUGGGCCUAUCA